rnacentral:misc_RNA from 1 species
AAAAAAAAAAAGAAAAAUCAAUAUGUAUAACCAAUAUAUAUAAUUAUCAUUGGUAAAUUUUUAACUUUACUAGUCUGAGGCUGCCUGGAUGUUUGUGCAGCUCUAUGCAUAAUUUCAGUGAAAUGCAUUUUAUUGCAGUCACAUUGGUAUAAUUUCUUCUCACUUGUUGACCAGAAUUUUUAACAUGACGUCUAAGCUUUAGCUGUGUCUCAGGCAUAUUUCACCUGAUUAUAUGAGUUUUUUUU